UGGGGAAAGCUGUGCUCUCAGGGCUUGGAGCACUGCCUAACUGGAUCAGCCGCCCAGGCUGGCAGCACCAGCCUCCUAGAGGGUCUUCUGUAAGGUUUGCACCCAUGGGCUGUGCCUAGGGGAGACGGGGGCGGGGCCUCUGUGGCUUUAUCUUUUCCAGGUCUCCACCAACACCACUUCCCCGCCCCACACUGCCACACGCCUGCAGAUGCUGCCCACUCUUUUGCACGGUGGCUUCUGCUGGGGUUCACUGCUGGUGUGUAUCCACGGAGGAGACCCGAGGACAGUGAGGGGGUGCCUUUCUUGGCAUAUUACUGUGGGAUAGCGUCAGUUUUUUUUUUUUUCCAGAGAGAAGGUCAGAGCUUUGCUCAAGGGGCCCAAAGCUUGGAAAUCUGAGUUCUGCUAAGCACUCCUCCCCCUUUCUUUGGGGGGGGGUAUGCUGUAGACUGAAUGGCUGUCUCCAAGUCAUUGCUCUUCCUGGUAUCCAAGCGCCCUGCCCGGAUGUGGCUUUGCAGAUGCUCACAUAAGAGGCACGGUGCCUGGCCUCUUGCCCUUGACUUGGCUCUGUGACCUGCUUUGUCCAACGGAUGUGGGCUGAACUGUCUGUACGCCAGUGCAAGCUGGGGUCCUAGAAAGCGUGUCACGUCUCCAUGUGCCUCUGCCAUCUCUGGAAGAGUUUCCCCUGCACAACUGGUGCCUCUUCACUGCGGACUUUGGAAAGAACAUCUGUGGGACUGACCAAAGAUGUAAACCCCCAGCUUCCUGCUCCUGCUGCCAGACUGAUGCUUGUAGCCUCACAGCCGUGAUGGACCGAAUAAACUCUUUCCUCCGUGGGCAUCCAGAAGAACCCUUUCAAGUCACGAGGUCAGGCACUUGGGAUGCAGCUCAGUGCCACAUUGCGAACUUAACACAAAUCAGGCUGUGGUUGUGACCCCCAGCACCGCAGAAGGAAGUCAAACGAUAAACAGACACAUGCUUCGUGGUGUCAUUGCAUCAGCGGCCUCCUUGGGAUUUAUCCAAGUGUAACUCUCCGGAGAGGAAAACCCCAGUUCUCUCUGGUUAUAAGCCUAAGGCUCCUUAGGGCCCCAUAUUCUCUUCUUCUCCCUUCUGGAAGAAGCUGGCUUGAGAGAGUGAUGCUGACAAACCCAAAAACCAGUGGAGAUGAAUACAAAGAGGGAGAUUUGACAAAAGAAAGACACUAUACUUAUUCAUUUAAUUUUUUUAUUAUUCUCGCAUAUAUUACAUCCUGACAGCAGUUUCCCCUCCCUCCCCUCCCCCACUCUGCCCC